rnacentral:rRNA from 1 species
UACGUAGGUGGCAAGCGUUGUCCGGAAUUAUUGGGCGUAAAGCGCGCGCAGGUGGUUCUUUAAGUCUGAUGUGAAAGCCCACGGCUCAACCGUGGAGGGUCAUUGGAAACUGGGGAACUUGAGUGCAGAAGAGGAAAGUGGAAUUCCAAGUGUAGCGGUGAAAUGCGUAGAGAUUUGGAGGAACACCAGUGGCGAAGGCGACUUUCUGGUCUGUAACUGACACUGAGGCGCGAAAGCGUGGGGAGCAAACCGG